ACUCAUAACUAGAAAACUUUUCUAUGAACUUCAUUGCAUAGACAAACAAACAAGAAAAUAAAGCUACAAUGUCAGUUUUUCCUUCAACGAAGAAAGCUGUUGCCCAACAAAAAUUUCCCAACUCAGCAAUGAGAUAUCUGAAUGUCUCUAGCCUUCUCUGCGGACAAAGUAGAGCUUACCCAUGACGUGAAGGAUUGCGACAAAAGCUAUGAAGCCAAUACUCAUUACAAGCACGACAUUGGGGGAUAUCUUGAGUCCGGGGGAAUCAUCAGUGUAGAAUUGGAGCAUGG